GCCUGCUGGUAGAAAUUCGCCAGUGACCUUCCCUGCCCUCUUUCUGCGGCCAGCCUUGCGGAGGAGACGCGUUCUGGCGACCUUUUGGGCUUCCUGGGAAUUAAAGAUACACGUCCUGAGACGGUGGCGUCCAUUUCUGCUAAAGGAACAGGCACAGACCGCAAACGUAGGACAGGUUGUGGUUUCAUUUGAAACCUGAAAGCUUGACAGCCCAGAGCAGUGCCUAACAUUUACAGUCACCUCACUCCCGACCAUGGCUUGGAAAAGGAGGACACUGUAACCAGUAUGCCCUGAUGGCUCUGCCAUCCUUCCUGUGACCUGAGUGGCCUCCCCUGCCCCCUCACCCCCUCUGGUCCAUCUCGGCUCUGUCAGUGCUGCACCAGGGGCCCUUCCUCUCUGCCUGCUGGCCAUCCUCACGAAGGCACGAGGGCUCAUGGCCUCUUGCCGAGGCUCCUGUGGCGUUCUCCUCAACAGCUUCCCUCUGCAUUGUCCCUGCUGCCACAGCGGUCAUCGUCCACAUGUUUCCUGUCCCUUCCUAAAUAAAAAGCUCAAGGACUCUU